CAAAUCACCAAAAUAUCUGUUUUUUCAUUUACAAAUUCGAACAAGGAAGAACACAUAUGGAACAAAAAAGGGAGGAAAAAAAAAAAGUCUCUCCUUUUUUCUAUAAAAUUGGUCCAAUAUCAAAAUCGAUAUUCAUUCCUUUUGGGAAUAGUGUCUGGAGGUCAAAAAUCCAUGAACUCUCUUUUUUACUCAGGUUUAAAAC